UCCUGAGGUCCCUUCUGUUACACUUCCAACCCUGAUAUUCUAUGAUGGAAUUUCUUGGCUUUUGUGGGGGGUUUUUUUUUCUUGUUUUUGUCAGGUUUCUAAGGAGAUUUGGACAAAAAUCAGGAGUAAAGUCAUUGUGUAAUGGAAGGUUUCAUUUUUAUGAUCACUGUGCCUUUUAUAGAAAUUGUUCUGGCCAUUUUUUAAUGCACUGUACUAUAU